rnacentral:rRNA from 1 species
AGAGUUUGAUCCUGGCUCAGAACGAACGCUGGCGGCGUGGAUAAGACAUGCAAGUCGAACGAGAACUUUACUGGUAGCAAUACCGGUGAAGUUCUAGUGGCGAACGGGUGCGUAACACGUGGGCAAUCUGCCUUAAAGUGGGGGAUAGCUCGGCGAAAGCCGAAUUAAUACCGCAUGUGAUCAGGGGAGACAUCUUCCCGAAAUCAAAAGUGGCGCAAGCUACUGCUUUUUGAGGAGCCCGCGGCCUAUCAGCUAGUUGGUGAGGUAACGGCUCACCAAGGCUUUGACGGGUAGCUGGUCUGAGAGGACGACCAGUCACACUGGAACUGAGACACGGUCCAGACACCUACGGGUGGCAGCGGUCGAGAAUUUUUCUCAAUGGGGGAAACCCUGACGACGCAACGCCGCGUGGAGGAUGAAGAUCUUCGGGUCGUAAACUCCUUUCGAUCGAGACGAAUGGCCUCCGGGUCAAUACCCUGGAGGAAUGACGGUACCGAGAGAAGAAGCCCCGGCUAACUCCGUGCCAGCAGCGGCGGUAAUUC